AGAGUUUGAUCCUGGCUCAGGAUGAACGCUAGCGGCAGGCCUAACACAUGCAAGUCGAGGGGCAACACGGGUAGCAAUACUUGGUGGCGACCGGCGCACGGGUGAGUAACGCGUAUGCAACCUACCUUAUACAGGGGGAUAGCCUCCCGAAAGGGAGAUUAAUACCGCAUAAAGCAGGGGUACCGCAUGGUACUAUUUGCUAAAGAUUUAUUGGUAUAAGAUGGGUAUGCGUGCCAUUAGCUAGUUGGUAAGGUAACGGCUUACCAAGGCGACGAUGGCUAGGGGGUCUGAGAGGAUGAUCCCCCACACUGGUACUGAGACACGGACCAGACUCCUACGGGAGGCAGCAGUGAGGAAUAUUGGUCAAUGGGCGAGAGCCUGAACCAGCCAUGCCGCGUGCAGGAAGACGGCCCUAAGGGUUGUAAACUGCUUUUUUACGGGGGUAAUAGCUUGUCUGCGGACAGGUAUGAAAGUACUGUAAGAAUAAGCGUCGGCUAACUACGUGCCAGCAGCCGCGGUAAUACGUAGGACGCAAGCGUUAUCCGGAUUUAUUGGGUUUAAAGGGUGCGUAGGCGGACCCAUAAGUCAGCGGUGAAAGACUGUCGCUUAACGAUAGCAUUGCCGUUGAUACUGUGGGUCUUGAGUAUAGUUGAGGUAGGCGGAAUGUGUAGUGUAGCGGUGAAAUGCUUAGAUAUUACACAGAACACCGAUUGCGAAGGCAGCUUACUAAGCUAUAACUGACGCUGAGGCACGAAAGCGUGGGGAUCAAACAGGAUUAGAUACCCUGGUAGUCCACGCCGUAAACGAUGAUAACUGGUUGUUGGCGAUAUACAGUCAGCGACUGAGCGAAAGCAUUAAGUUAUCCACCUGGGGAGUACGUCGGCAACGAUGAAACUCAAAGGAAUUGACGGGGGCCCGCACAAGCGGAGGAACAUGUGGUUUAAUUCGAUGAUACGCGAGGAACCUUACCUGGGCUCGAACGCAGGGGGAAUGUAGGUGAAAGCUUACAGCUAGCAAUAGCCGCCUGCGAGGUGCUGCAUGGUUGUCGUCAGCUCGUGCCGUGAGGUGUCGGCUUAAGUGCCAUAACGAGCGCAACCCUUAUUGUUAGUUGCCAGCGGGUAAAGCCGGGGACUCUAACAAAACUGCCAGCGUAAGCUGUGAGGAAGGCGGGGAUGACGUCAAAUCAGCACGGCCCUUACGUCCAGGGCUACACACGUGUUACAAUGGCCGGUACAGAGGGCAGCUACCCCGCGAGGGGAUGCAAAUCUCUAAAGCCGGUCCCAGUUCGGAUUGGAGUCUGCAACUCGACUCCAUGAAGUUGGAUUCGCUAGUAAUCGCGCAUCAGCCACGGCGCGGUGAAUACGUUCCCGGGCCUUGUACACACCGCCCGUCAAGCCAUGGGAGCUGGGGGUACCUGAAGUACGUGACCGCAAGGAGCGUCCUAGGGUAAAACUGGUGACUGGGGCUAAGUCGGAACAAGGUA
rnacentral:rRNA from 1 species